rnacentral:rRNA from 1 species
GACGAACGCUGGCGGCGUGCCUAAUACAUGCAAGUUGAGCGCUGAAGGUUGGUACUUGUACCAACUGGAUGAGCAGCGAACGGGUGAGUAACGCGUGGGGAAUCUGCCUUUGAGCGGGGGACAACAUUUGGAAACGAAUGCUAAUACCGCUUAAAAACUUUAAACACAAGUUUUAAGUUUGAAAGAUGCAAUUGCAUCACUCAAAGAUGAUCCCGCGUUGUAUUAGCUAGUUGGUGAGGUAAAGGCUCACCAAGGCGAUGAUACAUAGCCGACCUGAGAGGGUGAUCGGCCACAUUGGGACUGAGACACGGCCCAAACUCCUACGGGAGGCAGCAGUAGGGAAUCUUCGGCAAUGGACGAAAGUCUGACCGAGCAACGCCGCGUGAGUGAAGAAGGUUGUCGGAUCGUAAAACUCUGUUGGUAGAGAAGAACGUUGGUGAGAGUGGAAAGCUCAUCAAGUGACGGUAACUACCCAGAAAGGGACGGCUAACUACGUG